CUCCCGAUCAACAAUUGCCCCUACACCAUUAUAUUUGCCAUGCUGCUUUAUUUGUCAGCAUCUUGAUACAUGCAUCCCUGCGUAACUCUAGCCCCCUCCAUCUGGAGUCAUCCCAGUUCAAGACGUCUGUCUGCCUUUUAUUUAAGAUUCUCUCUCCGAAUAUUUCUGCAGCACAGUGUCUGUACAACAACAGCUUUAUAUCAAUGGCACAGGAGGUGUGUUUGCAGCUGUGACAUCAUUCUCUAAAUAUCAGACAGCAGUGCAGAAAAUUUGGGCUGGGUAAAGGCUGCACUCUUUGCUGAGUCUGCUUUUACCUUAUUCUGUGUCCUCAGUAUAUUUCAUACCGGAAGGCCAGCAGAUUGCACCCAUUCUUUCCUCCUGUGCUUUACCUGGUUUAAAUCACCAGGGUUCAGGCCUCUUUUCCAGUCACUGGCUCACUUUGUAUACUGGUUCUGUCUCUGAAACACAAGAGAUUCUCAAGUGCAGCAUUAUCUAACAAAACAAAGUUGUGACUAGGUGUAAAGAGAAGAACUCUUUUUUUUCUGUCCUUGGAAUAUUGUUAAUAUGACUUUGGGAAAUUGCUUUGAAGAAGACUCUUGCUUGGGAGCCCCGUGGAUUAUAGUGUUGCACAUUGUGAGGAAGAUUUCCAGGAUGAGCUAUUUUUAAUUUUAAAAGUCUCUGGUAUUUAAAGUAAGCAAUUGGACUUUCCGAGGACACAAUUAGUUAUAUCCACUUCUGAUGGGCUUUGGUGAUCUGCUUUGGUGAUCAGUCGGGGAAGUGUAGAAAUGAGAGAACCAAGGAAAGGGAACAUUUGUGCCGCCACAAUUCAUUGUGUAUAAACUAUACUAAACCAGAAAAGUUAUUUCUGUCUCUCUAACACUAAAACAGAAAAGGCCGUCAUAAGGCAAAACACCUUUUUCCAUUCAUCGAACUGGGAGGUGAGUAGGAGCUUGAAGUUCUGUACACUGUUAGGCCUAAAAACCAUAGUUUGCCAUUUAAAAGGUUUCUUUUGGAAAGUCACUGCGUUUAAGCAGCAGCUUGACUAACUGCUUAAAUAAAAGGAAGCUUUAGAGUUUUUUAAA